UGGGGAAUUUUGGACAAUGGGCGCAAGCCUGAUCCAGCCAUGCCGCGUGCGGGAAGAAGGCCUUCGGGUUGUAAACCGCUUUUGUCAGGGAAGAAAUCUUCUGAGUUAAUACCUCGGGAGGAUGACGGUACCUGAAGAAUAAGCACCGGCUAACUACGUGCCAGCAGCCGCGGUAAUACGUAGGGUGCAAGCGUUAAUCGGAAUUACUGGGCGUAAAGCGUGCGCAGGCGGUUUUGUAAGACAGAGGUGAAAUCCCCGGGCUCAACCUGGGAACUGCCUUUGUGACUGCAAGGCUUGAGUGCGGCAGAGGGGGGAUGGAAUUCCGCGUGUAGCAGUGAAAAUUGCGUAGAUAUGCGGAGGAACACCGAUGGCGAAGGCCAAUCCCCUGGGCCUGCACUGACGCUCAUGCACGAAAGCGUGGGGAGCAAACAGGAUUAGAUACCCUGGUAGUCACGCCCUAAACGAUGUCAACUGGUUGUUGGGAAGGUUCCUUCUCAGUAACGUAGCUAACGCGUGAAGUUG
rnacentral:rRNA from 1 species